UACGAAGGGGGCUAGCGUUGUUCGGAAUUACUGGGCGUAAAGCGCACGUAGGCGGACUAUUAAGUCAGGGGUGAAAUCCCGGGGCUCAACCCCGGAACUGCCUUUGAUACUGGUAGUCUCGAGUCCGGAAGAGGUGAGUGGAAUUCCGAGUGUAGAGGUGAAAUUCGUAGAUAUUAGGAAGAACACCGGUGGCGAAGGCGGCCCACUGGCUCGAUACUGACGCUGAGGUGCGAAAGCGUGGGGAGCAAACAGG
rnacentral:rRNA from 1 species